rnacentral:lncRNA from 1 species
CAAAAAUAGCACUCUGAGACUACCUACCAUGCACUUAGUGUUUUAAGAGGUCAAAGAAAGUUCACUCAAUCAGAAUAUGAAAUGCAAAUUCUAUGAGAGCAAGGGAGGGCCAACAUCUUUGACUCUUCAAAUCUCUGUGCUGAAGAAAAUGGAGCAAUACCAACAAAAAUUGGGAGUUUGGAACUGGAAAGUAAACAGGAAAUACUGCUAAAAUACCCAGUUAAAUCUUACAGCCAGACUAUGAGAAUGGAGUUAGUACUACCAGCAUUUUAUAACAGCCCUUCCCAUCAAAACACAGAAAUUCAUGGCUUGUUCGAAGCUAGUAGAGAAAACAUGAGCUUUGGAAUCACACAGUACUGGGUUCAAGUUCUAGCAUUUGCAUGUACCAGCUUGAGUGACCAUGGGUGUGCUGUGCUCCCUAGGUCUGAAGGCCUUGUGAAUGACUGACUUCACCCUUCUGCACACUGAUCUUCCUAACAAUGUUCCAAAAGGUGUCUACUGAUUCACGGGAAAGUCUUGACCACUGCCAGGAUGAUACAGUUCUUUGUAGAUCCCACUAUGGCUGAGAUUGACUGAGAAAUCCACAAUGUUGAAAACGAGAACACUAAGCUCCUUCUCUGAGACACUGACUCUGGCCAGUCCAACUUACUCAGAGAUAAGAUGAGACCAAAACACGUAAUGAAUGAACAAGAAAUGAUCCUUUGGAAUUUUAGUUAUUUGAGCAGCUUAGUUUAGAGAAUUCCUUCUUCCUUUUCAGACAAGCAGUUCACACGCCCUAAGUGGAAAACCUGGAACCAGAGUGAAGACUAGAUAAGGCAGCUUUUCUCCUGAGGGAGGGAGGAGGGGGCAUGAUGAGGCCAUGUAGUUGACAUUGGUAUUGUGUAGCUGAGCUGGCACAGAAUACAGCAGAGUAUCCCCCUGACUAUUCCUAUUUCAAAGAUAUAUAAUACUUUCACCACCUCCUUUUCACUAUUUUUUAUAUCUGGAUGGGACAUAUUAAGUGGCCUCACAGUGUAAUGAGUUUCAAUGUCCUCCUG